rnacentral:rRNA from 1 species
UACGUAGGGUGCAAGCGUUGUCCGGAAUUAUUGGGCGUAAAGAGCUCGUAGGCGGUCUGUCGCGUCGGCUGUGAAAUCCCGAGGCUCAACCUCGGGUCUGCAGUCGAUACGGGCAAACUAGAGUAUUGCAGGGGAGACUGGAAUUCUCGUGGUAGCGGUGAAAUGCGCAGAUAUCAGGAGGAACACCGGUGGCGAAGGCGGCAUCCUGGACCAAUUCUGACGCUGAGGAGCGAAAGCCAGGGGAGCAAACAGG